rfam:Myotis lucifugus cont2.42128, whole genome shotgun sequence.
UCACGUCCCACCCACCCCUGCAGAUCCCGGGUGGGCGAGGGGAUGGUCAGGGGGUC